GCCAUUUUCGAAUAUAAAAUGUUGGGCUUGUGUACUCAAAAGUUUCCGUCACUUUUUGUGAAUAAUAUAUCGAGGACUUAUUUUGUUAGUUUUUAAAAGCAUUUUUAGGUGUCUUGUAGAAUACGAUACCAAACAAACAAAGGUUAAGUUAGGUUGGGUACGUUACGUUGCGUGUUGUUAUGUAGGAAAUCGGAAUAAUGCAUAAUUAUGAUUCCUGUUGCAGUGGUAAACGGUUACAGGUAAAAAUAGCGGCAGUGGCUCACUUUAACCUACUGAAAUGAUACUUUGAAUUUCUGAUGUGCUACCAUUAAAAAAUCCCAUUGCAGUAUCAAUACAAGAAUUGUGGGUAAUAUUAGGGUAAAUAUGUAGAUUAGCUGUAUUUCCUUAAAAAACACAAUGUUACUCUCCAGUUUUACAAAAACGGCGAUAUCUCCUAAAUAUUUGGAAUUUCUUAUCUCCGCCGCCUUUAAUGAAAGGAAGAAGUUAAGGAGCACAAAAUGACACUAUUUUGGGAUUUUUAAUAUUUUUUUUAACAGAUAUCGUUUUUCUCCAGUUUUACCGUAUUUUAAUGUACGUAGGUACUGUAAAUACAUAUAAACUAUUAUUCUUAUGAUGUCACACAUUUAUUUGUAAUAUAGGUAAAAGUUUCGUAUUGCGUAUCCAAGGAGAUCACAUGAUCCUGAGGACACAAUCCUAUAAAUAUUGAUGCUGUGGUACAUGAUGCUUGCUGUUGUGAUUUAGCACGUUUUGUUAGGUUAGUACAGCUGCAUUAAAUAUACUUGAAUAACAUGCCAUCAUAAUGAAGGUAUCUCCUUGGAUACGCAAUACGAAACUUUUACCGUAAUAUUAAUAUUGUGAUCAUGACGUACAGAAUGAAUUGUACAGAAUUACUUUUACAUGCUGACUAAAAACGGCGUAUUAUCGCUGAAGGUAAUUGGAGGAAAUCACUUACAAGGAAGUGUCACAAAUUUGUUCAAAAGAAUGUUGACAAAUCAACUGGCUGCAGAGUACAGUUGGUGGGGAGCAAAAGGGAAGAAAAAUUUCAGAAAAUUGGAACUUUCACAUGUUGUUAUGAGGGUGGUUCGUUUCCAUUAUCCGUCUACUACUGAGACUGAAGUGUCCAUCAUUAUUUAUAAUUGGUUAAAACAUGCGAAGAAGAGAUGUAGCUAGUGUUGUAAAUGAAAAAAAGCAUGUGUUUUUUUUCCUCAAAAAUAAAUGUUUUUUAGAAAAAAACUUUGUCCCUAGUUUCCCCCCCCCCCCUUUUUUUCAGGUUUUUUUUAUUAUUUUAUAUACUGUAGCUCAUACUUUACAGUUAAUCUUUAUUGUGGAAAAAAAACUUUUUUUUUUUGUUUUUUGUAAAAUAAAAUGGGUUUUUUAUAGAAAAAAAUACUUAGAAAAAAAGGCAUUUUUUUUAUAAACUCUACAUGUAGCACUCUUAAUAAGUAAGUAUAUUUUUGUUUAGUGUUUAUUUGUGAAAUGGGCCACCAGUCAUCAUUAUAAGUUCAGGGUACCUAUUGACUGGGAAACCGGUCGGUCAAAUAUUAUUUAAAAAUUAUGGCUUGGGCUUGUCAUUAGAAAAAUUGUUAAAUGUCAACUUGCUGCCAAUUUUUGAUAUUUUGAAUUAUAUUAUUUUGUUUUCAACUGCAUUUAAUACUAUGUAAAUAAUAUCCACUUGU